UACGGAGGGGUUAGCGUUGUUCGGAAUUACUGGGCGUAAAGCGUGCGCAGGCGGUUUGUUAAGCGAGAUGUGAAAGCCCCGGGCUCAACCUGGGAAUUGCAUUUCGAACUGGCGAACUAGAGUCCUGUAGAGGGGGUAGAAUUCCAGGUGUAGCGGUGAAAUGCGUAGAGAUCUGGAGGAAUACCGGUGGCGAAGGCGGCCCCCUGGACAAAGACUGACGCUCAGGCACGAAAGCGUGGGGAGCAAACAGG
rnacentral:rRNA from 1 species